rnacentral:rRNA from 1 species
GAUGAACGCUGGCGGCAUGCCUAACACAUGCAAGUCGAACGAAGCCUUCGGGCUUAGUGGCGCACGGGUGCGUAACGCGUGGGAAUCUGCCCUUGGGUUCGGAAUAACAGUUAGAAUGACUGCUAAUACCGGAUGAUGACGAAAGUCCAAAGAUUUAUCGCCCAAGGAUGAGCCCGCGUAGGAUUAGGUAGUUGGUGGGGUAAAGGCUCACCAAGCCGACGAUCCUUAGCUGGUCUGAGAGGAUGAUCAGCCACACUGGGACUGAGACACGGCCCAGACUCCUACGGGAGGCAGCAGUGGGGAAUAUUGGACAAUGGGCGAAAGCCUGAUCCAGCAAUGCCGCGUGAGUGAUGAAGGCCUUAGGGUCGUAAAGCUCUUUUACCAGGGAUGAUAAUGACAGUACCUGGAGAAUAAGCUCCGGCUAACUCCGUGCCAGCCGCCGCGGUAAUAC